UCCCUAUGGGGUGCAGCAGUCGCGAAAACUCCGCAAUGCACGAAAGUGUGACGGGGCUACCCCGAGUGCCACCCGCUGAGGGUGACUUUUCUUUGGUAUAAUUAGCCAUUGGAAUAAGGGGUGGGCAAGUUCUGGUGUCAGCCGCCGCGGUAAAACCAGCACCUCAAGUGGUCAGGAUGAUUAUUGGGCCUAAAGCAUCCGUAGCCGGCUCUGUAAGUUUUCGGUUAAAUCUGUACGCUCAACGUACAGGCUGCCGGGAAUACUGCAGAGCUAGGGAGUGGGAGAGGUAGACGGUACUCGGUAGGAAGGGGUAAAAUCCUUUGAUCUAUUGAUGACCACCUGUGGCGAAGGCGGUCUACCAGAACACGUCCGACGGUGAGGGAUGAAAGCUGGGGGAGCAAACCGGAUUAGAUACCCGGGUAGUCCCAGCUGUAAACUAUGCAAACUCAGUGAUGCAUUGGCUUGUGGCCAAUGCAGUGCUGCAGGGAAGCCGUUAAGUUUGCCGCCUGGGAAGUACGUACGCAAGUAUGAAACUUAAAGGAAUUGGCGGGGGAGCACCACCAGGCGUGAAGCCUGCGGUUCAAUUGGAUUCAACGCCGGAA
rnacentral:rRNA from 1 species